GACGAACGCUGGCGGCGUGCCUAAUACAUGCAAGUUGAGCGAUGAAGAUUGGUGCUUGCACCAAUUUGAAGAGCAGCGAACGGGUGAGUAACGCGUGGGGAAUCUGCCUUUGAGCGGGGGACAACAUUUGGAAACGAAUGCUAAUACCGCAUAACAACUUUAAACAUAAGUUUUAAGUUUGAAAGAUGCAAUUGCAUCGCUCAAAGAUGAUCCCGCGUUGUAUUAGCUAGUUGGUGAGGUAAAGGCUCACCAAGGCGAUGAUACAUAGCCGACCCGAGAGGGUGAUCGGCCACAUUGGGACUGAGACACGGCCCAAACUCCUACGGGAGGCAGCAGUAGGGAAUCUUCGGCAAUGGACGAAAGUCUGACCGAGCAACGCCGCGUGAGUGAAGAAGGUUUUCGGAUCGUAAAACUCUGUUGGUAGAGAAGAACGUUGGUGAGAGUGGAAAGCUCAUCAAGUGACGGUAACUACCCAGAAAGGGACGGCUAACUACGUG
rnacentral:rRNA from 1 species